GCCGUGGACCUAAUCAAAUAUUUCAACGCUAUAGUGUUAUCAAUACUUUUUUGUAUUUCUGACACUAUAGAGCUCCUCUAUACAGACACAAAAGGUGGCAAUAUGACCAAAUAAAUCUGUGAAGACGUCUAAAAGGUGAUGUACAAGAAAAAGCUCAGCUGCCAUCUUGAUAAAGGAUGGAAAAUAAAUCCAGUGCAAUAAGGGAAAACGUUUGGUUUGAUUUAUUAAGUCACUUUUACAAAAACUGCAUUUAAUUACGUUAAGACACAGCAUCUUAUCUCUAACAAGACAUUUACACAUAGCAGACAGUUACUCCAGCUUUUGUUAAUCUCUGCUAUGCAUAUCACUCACUGGGUUUAGC